rnacentral:rRNA from 1 species
GAUUAACGCUAGCGGCAGGCCUAAUACAUGCAAGUUGUACGGGAUUAUUGGUAGCAAUACUGAUAUGAGAGUAGCGCACGGGUGCGUAACACGUAUGCAACCUACCUUUAACUGGGGAAUAGCCUUCCGAAAGGAAGAUUAAUACCGCAUAACAUUGCGAAACGACAUCGUUUUGCAAUUAAACCUACGGGGGUUAGAGAUGGGCAUGCGUCCGAUUAGCUAGUUGGCGGGGUAANAGCCCACCAAGGCAACGAUCGGUAGGGGGUC